UGCAGUCGAACGGCAGCACGGGAGCUUGCUCCUGGUGGCGAGUGGCGAACGGGUGAGUAAUAUAUCGGAACGUAUCCAAUAAUGGGGGAUAACUAAGCGAAAGCUUGGCUAAUACCGCAUACGCCCUGAGGGGGAAAGCUAGGGAUCUUCGGACCUGGCGUUGAUGGAGCGGCCGAUAUCUGAUUAGCUAGUUGGUGGGGUAAAGGCCCACCAAGGCGACGAUCAGUAGCUGGUCUGAGAGGACGACCAGCCACACUGGAACUGAGACACGGUCCAGACUCCUACGGGAGGCAGCAGUGGGGAAUUUUGGACAAUGGGCGCAAGCCUGAUCCAGCCAUUCCGCGUGAGUGAAGAAGGCCUUCGGGUUGUAAAGCUCUUUCGCAAGGGAAGAAAAAUUACGCUCUAACAUAGCGUGAUGAUGACGGUACCUUGAUAAGAAGCACCGGCUAACUACGUGCCAGCAGCCGCGGUAAUACGUAGGGUGCGAGCGUUAAUCGGAAUUACUGGGCGUAAAGCGUGCGCAGGCUGUUUUGUAAGUCAGAUGUGAAAUCCCCGAGCUCAACUUGGGAACUGCGUUUGAAACUACAAGACUAGAAUAUGUCAGAGGGGGGUAGAAUUCCACGUGUAGCAGUGGAAUGCGUAGAGAUGUGGAGGAAUAUCAAUGGCGAAGGCAGCCCCCUGGGAUAAUAUUGACGCUCAUGCACGAAAGCGU
rnacentral:rRNA from 1 species